UAUAUAAUUCGCUCCUUUGUAACCAGACCGAAAUUUAAACCGGUUCACUAUUGGAACACUACGUCCCGCGUCCUCCAGCGGUCGCCCAGUUGCCCGUCAAACACCCUCACCACACGUUUACCCGCUGAGCACCUUCCACGUUUCAACAUCUUCAUCCUUUACGUCAUUAUCCUGAUUAGCCGGCGGCAAAUCCCUAUCUUCUUAUCUGUAUCCCUCCACAUACAAACAUCACCUCCCAAAAUCUAAAAAAGAGACGGAGAGCGAGCGAGCGAGCGAGCGAGAGAGUCCUAAGUCACAAACUCGCGUAACCAACCGCUUCGCAUUUUAAACUGCCUCCCUCCCGUGUCCCGCAUUAUUAUAUAUGUAUAAUCUAAUCUGAUUUUUGUUGUUGAAAAUUUUCGAAUUUUAAUUUCAAUUCUCAAAGCGAAGCAAUUCAAUUGAAUUCAAUUCAUAGUGGAUUUGAAUUCCUUCUAUUCGUUUCCUUCCCUAAAUCCACUUUGUCUCUCUCUAAAAUUCUGGCCCUAUUCAACCUAAAAUCUUUUAACGGAAUCAAUAGUCCCUUCUAUUUCACGCAAUUUCUCUGUAACCGUUUUAUAUUGCUUUUUCUCAGGUAUACGUUUCUUUUCUCUCUCAACAAAACAUGAAAAAACUUCUCACUAUGAUCUGCUCGGAUCUGUUUCUCUGUUCAUUCUGAAUUUCCCUCUCCUAUGCAUCAUCUUUGUUGUAUUUCCACCGUCUCCGACCAUUCCUCGGCCCAUUCCUUACCCAUGGCAAUCACGUCUAGAUCCGACCCGAUUACCCGAUCCCUCUCUGCCAAUAACAACCACCAGGCUCAUUUAUUGAACCAUCCCAACCACCACCACAACGGCAUCGAUUGUAAUAACGGCAAUAAUAAUCGGCCCAGCCAGAGAGUCUUGGCGGCUGCUUUGGCUGUUAAUACGGUGUCGUUGCCGCGAGAGCAGCAGGUUGAUGUCAGGAUAAAUGAUAUAGUUGGGAAUGGAAUAUCGGGCAUUCUGUAUAAGUGGGUGAAUUACGGGAAAGGCUGGAGGCCGAGAUGGUUCGUUUUGCAGGAUGGUGUGUUAUCGUAUUAUAAGAUUCAUGGGCCCGAUAAGAUCGUCGUUAAUCGAGAGACGGAGAAAGGAUCCAAAGUCAUUGGGGAAGAAUCUAUGAGAAGGAUUUCGAGGCCUAAAAAUGGUAACACUCAGCUCAAGCGCAAUCCAGUCGGCGAAAUCCAUCUCAAGGUGUCAUCGAUCCGUGAGAGCAGAUCAGAUGAUAAGAGGUUCUCGAUAUUCACCGGCACAAAGAGGGUCCAUUUGAGAGCGGAGACGCGGGAGGAUCGUUUGGCGUGGAUGGAGGCAUUGCAGGCAGUGAAGGACAUGUUCCCUCGCAUGUCCAACAGCGAACUAAUGGCUCCGAUAGAUAAAGUGGCCGUCUCAACGGAGAAGUUGAGGCAGCGGCUUCAGGAAGAGGGCGUGAGGGAGGAGGCAAUCCAGGAUUCCGAGCAGCUUAUGAGGAGCGAAUUUGGAUCGCUGCAGAACCAGAUUGUGCUGCUCAAGCAGAAGCAAUGGCUCCUCAUCGACACGCUGCGCCAGUUAGAGACAGAAAAGGUUGACCUGGAAAAUACAGUGGUUGAUGAGAGUCAAAGACAGUUCAAUGAUCAAGAGGCUUCUUCUAUCUUAAGACAAGUCCAGUCCAGUGAAGCAAGUGCAACUGAAUCUGAUGAUGAGAAUGAAAGAAUUGAUGCUGCAGAGGAAGAAACUGAUGAUGAUGAGAAUACCUUCUUUGAUACUCGUGACUUUCUAUCAUCAUGUUCCUUCAAAAGCAGUGGAUCUGAUUUUAGGACAUCAUCUUUCUCUUCUGAUGAUGAAGGGAUUUAUGCAUUUGAAUCAGAAGAUGAUAUCGAUCCUUCCAUUAGACCUGUUGGGAAAAAUUAUCCUUGUGUUAAGCGGCGUAAGAAGUUACCUGACCCAGUUGAAAAAGAAAAAGGUGUUAGCCUUUGGUCAAUGAUCAAGGAUAAUAUUGGGAAGGACCUCACUAAAGUUUGUCUUCCAGUUUACUUUAAUGAACCCCUCUCUUCUCUACAAAAAUGUUUUGAGGAUUUGGAAUACUCGUACCUCCUUGACCGGGCAUAUGAAUGGGGAAGAAGGGGUAAUAGCCUUAUGAGGAUUCUUAAUGUCGCUGCUUUUGCUGUAUCCGGAUAUGCUUCAACUGAAGGAAGAAUUUGCAAACCAUUCAAUCCAUUAUUAGGGGAAACAUAUGAGGCUGACUAUCCAGAUAAAGGCAUUCGAUUUUUCUCUGAGAAGGUCAGUCAUCACCCCAUGAUUGUUGCAUGUCAUUGCGAGGGUACAGGAUGGAAAUUUUGGGGAGAUAGCAAUCUAAAGAGCAAAUUUUGGGGUCGCUCAAUUCAGCUUGAUCCUGUUGGUCUUUUAACUUUGGAAUUUGAUGAUGGAGAAGUUUUUCAAUGGAGCAAGGUUACAACAUCAAUAUACAAUCUUAUAUUGGGCAAACUGUACUGUGAUCACUAUGGUACAAUGCGAAUAGAUGGAAAUCGUGAAUAUUCAUGCAAACUGAAAUUUAAGGAGCAGUCCAUCAUAGACCGAAAUCCUCACCAGGUGCAUGGAACAGUUCAAGACAGGAAUGGUAAAAGAGUGGCAACUCUUUUUGGAAAGUGGGAUGAGAGCAUGCAUUACAUGAAGGAUGACUGCCCUGUGAAGGGAAAAGGAUUUGAAUCUCUAAAAGAUGCCCAUCUGCUUUGGAAGCAAAGCAAGCCUCCUAAAUUUCCCACCAGAUAUAACUUGACACGCUUAGCCAUGACAUUGAAUGAACUCACCCCAGGACUUAAGGAAAAGCUGCCGCCUACAGAUUCUAGGCUUAGGCCCGAUCAAAGAUACUUGGAAAAUGGUGAAUUCGAAAUGGCAAAUUCAGAGAAACUGAGACUCGAGCAGCGGCAACGCCAGGCCCGGAAGAUGCAAGAGAGGGGUUGGAAGCCAAGAUGGUUUGCAAAAGAUAAAGGAAGUGAUUCAUAUCGAUAUAUUGGCGGAUAUUGGGAGGCCAGGCAACAGGGAAAUUGGGAGUCAUGUCCUGAUAUAUUUGGCCAAGUUACUACUGAUCAGGAUUAAAGUUCAAUUGCCAUCAAAUUCUUUUUCAAUUUUUUUGGGGAUAGAGAUAGCGGACAACUGCUGUUGUUUGCAGUUCAGGUGCCCAUGAAAUCCCUACAAGUAAAUUAAGAUCCGUUCCAGAUAUAGCCCAAGCUCGCAAAAUCGCACACUGGUUGGUUUGUGAGAUCACGCUUGGUACACUAUUUGUAUAGUAUCUGACAAGACCAUCCUUCCUUCGUCAAGGUAGAGCCCAAGCUGACAAAAUCGUAACACUGCGUGGUUUGUGAGAUGACGCAAUGGGUGGUAUUUUGUAUUCUGACAAUGACAAUUGAAGAAGAGGAAGAUACCAUUUGCUGCUAACAAAAGUCAUCUUCUUCUGUUUUCUUUUUUUGCA